rnacentral:sRNA from 1 species
ACACCAACACCAACAACACCAACAACACCCUCUCAUCAAGAACAUUCCAUUACCCAACCCCUUGUUUUCCUUUCUUUAUUAUCGCCCCCGGCUUCUCUUCGCCUGCGGAGGCCAAUCACAGCAUCCGGCCCCUGGCGAAAAUGUUUCAGCUCCCCUCCUCGAAGGUGUAUGAUGAUGAGAAGCCAUGAUUAUGUGCCAUUCAUCGCUCGACAGAGAUACACACGUAAGCAGAAAGUGUCCGCCCUGAGAAUGGGGGGUUGUAAAUCGUAAUGCCAAUAACUGCAAGCUCUCUCUUAGAUUGAGACGCCGCUUGCUCACUUUGGUCGUGAAGAGUGUUGAGUUUGAGGAGCUUGCUUGUCAUGGUUAGAUAAAAAGCCUCUUUGAAAGAGAAAUUGUAAUCGCCGAGGCUAAGUGGACAUCAUCACCGUCAUCGUCAUCAUCAGCAGCAGCAGCAUUCAUCACUCUGGUCCCCAGAUCUACGAUGUUUGAUUAAUACAUCCAGCCAC